UACGUAGGUGGCAAGCGUUGUCCGGAUUUACUGGGCGUAAAGGGCGCGUAGGCGGGAUGGCAAGUCGGUCGUGAAAUCCUUCGGCCCAACCGAAGAACGUCGGCCGAUACUGCCGUUCUUGAGGGAUGCAGAGGAGACUGGAAUUCCCGGUGUAGCGGUGAAAUGUGUAGAGAUCGGGAGGAACACCGGUGGCGAAGGCGGGUCUCUGGGCAUUUCCUGACGCUGAGGCGCGAAAGCGUGGGGAGCAAACGGG
rnacentral:rRNA from 1 species